rnacentral:rRNA from 1 species
CAAUAGCGUAUAUUAAAGUUGUUGCAGUUAAAAAGCUCGUAGUUGGAUUUGUGGCGUACGGUGUGUUCCGGGCACUUGUUGUCUGAGUAACCUGCUGUUGCCAUCCUUGGGUGGAACCUGUGUGGCAUGAGGUUGUCGUGCAGGGGAUGCCCAUCAUUUACUGUGAAAAAAUUAGAGUGUUCAAAGCAGGCUUAUGCCGUUGAAUAUAUUAGCAUGGAAUAAUGAGAUAGGACUUUUUUGCUAUUUUGUUGGUUUGCGCAAAGAGGUAAUGAUUAAUAGGGACAGUUGGGGGUAUUCGUAUUCCAUUGUCAGAGGUGAAAUUCUUGGAUUUUUGGAAGACGAACUACUGCGAAAGCAUUUACCAAGGAUGUUUUCAUUAA